rnacentral:lncRNA from 1 species
AAACUAAAGAGGGGAAGUGAUUUACCAGUUCAGGGCUGUGUGGCUAGGUUCAGGGACAGCAGCUGCCGCCAGCCAUUCUGCAGCACCGUUCGCAGACGCCCCAGGGAACAGCCGGAACUCUCCCAGAGGCUGAUUUUACACUACUGGGUUUAGUCCCAAAUAUUUCCAACUUGGUGGAAAAUGUAUUUAAGGAAUUGCUACUCAGAGCCAGCAGUACCAAAACUGACCAGAUAUUGUUGUGUGAAUUGUUUGCACUAUUUGCUUUCAGUAUUAAACGGAGUUGUGG